rnacentral:misc_RNA from 1 species
GUGAACAAAAUUUAAAAUUUUCUGUGUUUGGUUUGUUACUAUUUAGAAUAUGAUGAUGAAAAUAGAAAUUGAUUGAGCUUUCACUUAAUUUGAUGGGUCAGCUGGCUUAUACAUAGAUCUGAGGGCAAUGAGAAAGACAGAGUUGAGAGGGAGAGAAAAUAGAAAUAAAAUAUUUAGCAACUCACUAAUACUAUGGAGUGUAUUAAAAAAUUCCAUCACGAAUGCUAAGUCAACAUUCUGGCAAGGAUUUACUUGGAAUUAGAUAAUUUAGAUCCCAAUGAUUUUAUGGUUAUAAAAAUUGGAAAAAUUAUUUAUUGUCUCAAAUUGAAGUUUAGUGACAAUAUAUGCAUUAGUGACUAGUAAUGGCGAGUGAAAUUUACCCCUCUCUCCCUCCCUCUUUUCCUGUCAUUAGUGGUCAUUUGGUGAUGUUAAAACAUUUUAAUAUAAUGGGGAAUGUGUUAAAAC